rnacentral:rRNA from 1 species
UACGUAGGUGGCAAGCGUUGUCCGGAUUUAUUGGGUUUAAAGGGUGCGUAGGCGGUUCCAUAAGUCAGUGGUGAAAUACGGCAGCUCAACUGUCGAGGUGCCAUUGAUACUGCGGAACUUGAGUACUGAUGAGGUAGGCGGAAUUGACGGUGUAGCGGUGAAAUGCUUAGAUAUCGUCAAGAACACCGAUAGCGAAGGCAGCUUACCAAGCAGUAACUGACGCUGAGGCACGAAAGUGCGGGGAGCAAACAGG